rnacentral:rRNA from 1 species
AUGGCGGCGGGGACAGCGCGAGACGGGGAGACCCUGGAGACGUGGCCCUCGAGCUCGAGCGGCGAGACGACGAAGGAGGCCGAGCGGGAGCCGAGCGGCGAGCGGACGUGGCUCCGGCGGAGCUCCUCGCUGGCGGCGGACGAAAACGGAGGCGGGGCCUGGGCUUCUGGUGGCAUAGAGAACGAGAAGGAGAGGGAGAGAUCGAGAUGGCGACGCUGGAGGGUGAGCGAGAGAGCGAGGGGUCGAGGGAGAGGAGUGAGGUCUGCGAGCGAGCAUGCUUUGAGUGGUGGCCACAAGGGAACGAGAGGGAGAUGGAGAUAG